UACGGAGGGUGCGAGCGUUGUCCGGAAUCACUGGGCGUAAAGGGCGCGUAGGCGGCGCGGGAAGUUCGUGGUGAAAGCCCGAGGCUCAACUUCGGGUCGGCCAUGGAUACUCCUGGGCUCGAGCACUGUAGAGGCAGGUGGAAUUCCGGGUGUAGCGGUGGAAUGCGUAGAGAUCCGGAAGAACACCGGUGGCGAAGGCGGCCUGCUGGGCAGUGACCGUAAGGUCUUAAAAGCUGACGCUGAGGCGCGACAGCGUGGGGAGCAAACAGG
rnacentral:rRNA from 1 species